AAAAAGACAAACCCUGGGUUUCCGUGUUCAACGUUUGACCGUUCGUCUUAUAUGAUUUUUUUAUAAUUAGUAUUUUCAUUGUUGUUAGAUGAUAAAACAUGAUUAAUACUUUAUGCGUGACUUGUCUUUUUAAUUUUUUUAUAAUUUUUUCAAAUAAGACGGACGAUCAAAUGUUGGACACGGAAACCCAGGGUUUGUCUUUUU
rfam:Oryza sativa Japonica Group DNA, chromosome 4, cultivar: Nipponbare, complete sequence.